GGGGAAUAUUGCACAAUGGGCGCAAGCCUGAUGCAGCCAUGCCGCGUGUAUGAAGAAGGCCUUCGGGUUGUAAAGUACUUUCAGCGAGGAGGAAGGCAUUGUGGUUAAUAACCACAGUGGUUGACGUUACUCGCAGAAGAAGCACCGGCUAACUCCGUGCCAGCAGCCGCGGUAAUACGGAGGGUGCAAGCGUUAAUCGGAAUUACUGGGCGUAAAGCGCACGCAGGCGGUCUGUCAAGUCGGAUGCGAAAUCCCCGGGCUCGACCUGGGAACUGCAUUCGAAACUGGCAGGCUAGAGUCUUGUAGAGGGGGGUAGAAUUCCAGGUGUAGCGGUGAAAUGCGUAGAGAUCUGGAGGAAUACCGGUGGCGAAGGCGGCCCCCUGGACAAAGACUGACGCUCAGGUGCGAAAGCGUGGGGAGCAAAC
rnacentral:rRNA from 1 species